UGGCAAAGGAGCCAGUGGAAGACACAGACCCUAGCACGUUAUCCUUUAACCCAUCAGACAAAUAUCCCAUUCAAGAUACGGGACUCCCUAAAGCUGAAGAAUGCGAUCCCAUUACUUUGAACUGCCCAACAGAGUCUGACGUGCAACAUCAGGUA